rnacentral:rRNA from 1 species
GACGUAGGGUGCGAGCGUUGUCCGGAUUUAUUGGGCGUAAAGAGCUCGUAGGCGGCUCGUCGCGUCGACCGUGAAAACCCGCGGCUUAACCGCGGGCUUGCGGUUGAUACGGGCGGGCUAGAGUUCGGGAGAGGGAUGCGGAAUUCCAGGUGUAGCGGUGAAAUGCGUAGAUAUCUGGAGGAACACCGGUGGCGAAGGCGGCAUCCUGGACCGACACUGACACUGAGGAGCGAAAGCCAGGGGAGCAAGCGGG